rnacentral:rRNA from 1 species
CCUACGGGUGGCAGCAGUGGGGAAUAUUGGGCAAUGGGCGCAAGCCUGACCCAGCAACGCCGCGUGAGUGAAGAAGGCUUUCGGGUUGUAAACUUCUUUUAUCAGGGACGAAGCAAGUGACGGUACCUGAAGAAUAAGCCACCGCUAACUACGUGCCAGCCGCCGCGGUAACACGUAGGUGGCAAGCGUUAUCCGGAUUUACUGGGUGUAAAGGGCGUGGAGGCGGGAGUGCAAGUCAGAUGUGAAAACUAGGGGCUCAACCCAGAGACUGUAUUUGAAACUGUACUUCUUGAGUGCUGGAGAGGCAAUCGGAAUUCCGGGUGUAGCGGUGAAAUGCGUAGAUAUACGGAGGAACACCAGUGGCGAAGGCGGAUUGCUGGACAGUAACUGACGCUGAGGCGCGAAAGCGUGGGGAGCAAACAGGAUUAGAUACCCCGGUAGUC